rnacentral:lncRNA from 1 species
UUGUAACAUGAGGCCAGGGGUGGGAAUCACUGAUCUAGUCCAAUCCCCUCAUUUUAGGCCGAAAGCUCAGGUCUGGAGAGAGGAAGCAUUUUCCACCCAACUGGAGGGAGGCAGCCCAUUCUUGGGUGAGUAUUGACUGAGGAAAUUAGUACACCCAGGGAAGCAUCUUGGUGUCCACUGAGCCUGCUGUUGGCACCCCCGCUCCUCGACCCCACGUACCUGGAAUGUGUCCUUGGAUGCCCGUUCAAAAACUUUUGAGCGGCUGGAGAGGAAGAGCACUUCUGUCUUGCCUUUCUCUCCAUAGAUCUGCAUGUAGACUCGGGCACUGGUGCCUGCGCCACCCACAUCUCCUGUCCAAAUCUCAACCUCAUAGUGGACCACUGGGUGGGCACGUGCAGAAGAAGUGGAACAUUUAGUCAUAAUAACAAUAACAGUGAUAGUAACAAAACAAACCUUUCCUGAGCCUGUUCCAGGUGCCUGGCGCUUUACAGUCAUUCACUUAUCUAAUCCUCUCCUCAACACCCUGAGUAAGCACAAUCAUUCCCAUUUUGCAGGUAAACAAACUGAAGCUUAGAGGAGAAUAGGUGGUGGAAAUGCCAAAUCUAAGCAAUCAGACACACCCCAGUCAUCCUCUGCACCACAUGCACCAGGAAGGAGGAGGAGUCACAUGCCAGUUGGCGAUCCCUGCUGUGUGCCUGCCUGCUACAGUUUGCAUGUUUGUCCUCUCCAAAACUCAUGCUGAAAUGUCAUUGCCAUUGUAACCAUAUUAAAAGGUGGGACAUUUAAGGAGUGAUUAGGCCCCCCAAAAUGCUUAUGUUGAAGCCACUAACCCCAAUACCUCAGAAUGUAACUAUAUCUGGAGAUAGGAGUCUUUAAAGAGGUGACUAGUUUAAAUGAGACCCCCAAGGGCAGGCCCUAAUCCAAGCUGAUUGGCGUCCUCAUAAGAAAAGGAAAUUGUGGCACAUAGAGAGACACCAGGGAUGUGGAGAGACACUAGGGAUGUGGAGAGACCAGGUGAGUCCACAGCGAUGAGGCAGCCCUAGCACAGUAAUGCAGAGAGCAGUGAGUGCAGAGAGAGCGAUCCAUCGAAAAAGGAGACUCACUCCAGAAAAAACAAGCUCUACAAAAGAUGAAAAGCAAUUAUCAUAAGGCAGGUGAUUCAGCGGUGAAUAAUAUUGACAUACUUAUAAUAAUAUAAAAAUUGAACACUGAUUUAGCUGUUUUGAAGGCUGGAAGGAGGGGGAGAGAAAGAGAGUGUGUGUGUGUGUGCACGCACACACGCACACAUGAGGGCCCAUACAAGUGCCUGUAUAUGUUAAAAGAGCUAAAUCCUCUUUCAUAGUAGGAAGUCAAUAGAUAACAUCUAAGACUGUAAAAUUAAAAAAUUGAGGCCAGGCACGGUGGUUCAGGCCUGUAAUUCCACUGCUUUCUAAAUCCACUGAGGCAGAAGGAUUGCUUGAGGCCAGGAGUUCAAGAUCAGCCUGGGCAACACAACAAGAUCCCCAUCUCUACAAAAAUAAAAUAAAAAUAAAAAUUGAGGGGUGUGGUGGCACGUGCCUGUAGUCCCAGCUACUCAAGAGGCUGAGGCACGGGGAUCGCUUGAGCCUGGGAGUCAAGGCUGCAAUGAGUUAUGAUUGUGUCACUGCACUCCAGCCUGGGUGCCGGAGCAACAUCCUGUCUCUAAAAAAUAAAUAAAUAAAAAUUGAUAGGUAUAUUGUUUAAAAAUAUGGAGCUAAAUUUUAGAGGAAAAAUCUAAAGUAAGGUUGUUGGCAUUGAAGAAGGGGGGUGGGGUAAGGGGAAGAGGUAGGUAAGGGAACUAUUGCUUUUUUAUUUUUAUCUUCUUGAUUAGUAUCUAUACUACUCUGAUGGAAUUCCAGUGUUGAUUUAUAAAAUGAGGGAAGGAGUUGAUUCUCAUACUGGCAAGUGCCAUUACAAAGCAUGUGUAUAUAACAGCCCUAAAGGAACUUGCAGGUUGCUUCAGAUUAGACACACACACGAAAAGAUAUUCAAAGAGUUCUGGGAGCGGGAGAGGUGAUUUCACACUGGGGUUCCCUCUCAGGGAAGCUGCUGUGGAAGUGAGCCUUGGGCAGUUGCUUUCAGGGCCAUUGUAGAAAUGCAGAGGUGAGGCCACUCGUAGUGGCUCACGUCUAUAAUGCUAGCACUUUGGGAGCACAAGGCAGGUGGAUCACUGGGGGUCAGGAGUUGGAGACCAGCCUGGCCAACAUGGUGCAGGAGCCUGAGGCAGGAGAAUGGCUUGAACCCGGGAGGAGGUUGCAGUGAGCUGAGAUUGUGCCACUGCACUCCAGCCUGGGCAACAGAGUAAGCCUCUGUCUCAAAAAAAAAAAAAAUGCAGAGGUGAGAAGGGACAUUCUCUGUGCCAGGCUUUGGUCCCACUGUCUUCCUCCUCAGAAAUGUCACCAUCCUAUCCAAAAAGGCCCUUCCCCCACACCAUUGCUAACCCUUUAUCCUGUUUCAUGUUCCUCUUGGCUGUUCAUUCGCAUUAUCCUAUCAUUGUCUGUCUCCCCUGUGGAAUAUAAAGCCUGUGAGUGCAAGGGUUUUGUUCGUUUUGCUCACAGCUGCCUCCACAAAGCUCAGAGCAGUGCUGGCAGAGAGAAACCCUCAAUAGACAGUCAUUCCUCAGUAUCUGCAGGGACAGGUUCCAGAACCCCCAAGCAUACCCAAAUCUGAGGAUGCUCAAGCCCCUCAUAUAAAAUGGCAUAGUAUUUGUAUAUAACCUACACACAUCCUCCUAUACACUUUAAAUAUCUCUAGGUUACUUAUAAUGCCUAAUACAAGGUAAAUGCUAUAUAAAUAGUUGUUAUACUGUACUGUUAGGGAAUAAUGACAAGGAAAAAAGUCUGUAUAUGUUCAGUACAGAUGCAAUUUUUUUCCAAAUGUUUUUGAUCCUCGAUUGAAUCCACCGAUGCACAACCCAUGGAUGUGGAGGGCUGACUGUGUAUUUUUUUUUGAAUAAAUGAAUGAAUAAAGAGUUUUAUCUCCUCAGCCAGUCUUCAUCGCAGAAGACAUGAACUAGGUCUCAAACUCCUAUACAGGGUUGAGUGUGCAUUUCCUAAUAAAGUCAUUUGCUGCCUUUAUUCCAGAAAAAAAGUAUUUCAUCCAUUGGGUCCUCAGUUUCCUCAUCUAUAAAAUGAGCCCUUCUUUCCUGCAAGAACCAUAGUACCAGAAGCGGUGAAAGCCCCCAUUUUCUCCCUGCAGGACCCUACCAGCAGCACUUGUCAGCAAGACCUACUUUGCCCCAUGGUCCCUCCUCCUUCCCCUCAGCCCCAUCCCCCAUGGGAAACAAUGGGUGGUCCCACCACAGCCUCCUCCAUACAUUUCUGGAUCUCCACCACCUCGCUGGGAUACAGCUCCACCUCCAGGCGCCCGUCAGCCUGGUUCUUGUCCAGCCAGCGGUUGGCGGGAAAGGUGUACUGCUUGCCUUGACGGGGCACACGGAUCUGAAUGCUGCCCAGGAACCAGCUGGCAUGCAUGCCGGUGCUGUCAUGCCCAAUCACCAGCCGGUUGAUCUGAAGGAAACCCGAGUGAGGGUGAGCAAGGAGCCAGUGUGUAGAAACCUCCAUGAUCCCAUCCCUACCUCCCCAAACACCAGCACAAAACUCAACCCAGGUCUCCAGUCCCCAGGAGAGGGAAGAUCCAUGGGAAAGCUGGAAUCCCGUUCCUGCCCCACCAUCAGCCAGCUGGGGGACCAGGUCAUCACCUCACCUGCCUGUAGCCACCAUUCCCUUCUCCUAAGCCCAGCACACCUCCCAGGGCCACAGUGAGAAACAAGAGGGGAGUGGAGGUGACACGAACUUUGAAAGCUCCACUAGUACUUAAUCAUGUUAGGUCACGGCCAUGUGAGAAAGCAAAUGUUUAAAAUGUUUGCCAUCACCUUCCAAUAACUGUGUUAUUGAUUUGGUUUGGUUUUGAACAAUACACAGUUGUAUAUAUUUCUGCAUUUCUUCAACAUACCUAUCCUGAAGGUGACAGAAUAUCACCCAUCCUGAAGGUGACAGACUAUGCAGGCAACCUCUCAGGACUCUGCAGUUCUGUGUCCAAUUCCUCUGCUCACUCUUGGACCCAAGGAACACUUUUCUUUUUCCAAUAACACUCUAUAAUUGCUUUGCAAUUUUGCAUUUUAACAUCUUUGCCCCCAUGGGCAACAUAGAGGAGAGUGCAGAUGAUCAUAUCACCAUCCUUAUAUGUACUUGGUUUGUCAAUGUUUGGAUUGCUUUUAUGUUUUUUUCUUUUUGAAAUGCUGUAUACAGAGCAAUUUUAACAUCAGAUGGAAUUAUCAGAUGGCCUUUGAGAACCCUUCCAGCCCUGAGAUUCUCUCUGCAAUGGUUUGAAGAGAUGAUGUUAGCCAUGAGUCUGGUGCCAAAAGGCCAGAUUUAGAAAACUAUCCAUGCGAGCCUGCUCUUGCUCUUCUGAGUCCUAAGUGCCUCUUUGCAGCUGGUAAUGGCAACAACAUCAGAGCUAAGUGCAUGCAGCCCAGUCCCCUGGAAUUAUCAGAAGAAAACCAGCUAAGCUUACAAAGCCUGAGAGCCCUCUGUGUGCAUGUCAAGGGACAGGGAAGAGUUUUGUUGUUCUUCUGUGGUGCCAGGACUGUGAAAGUCCCAGGGAGGGAUUGGCUGAAAGGGUAAAGACAGAGGUAAGUGUCUGAUAUGACUGGAUGCUCCCUAAGGGCAGACACUAGCUCAGUUCUACAACACUUCACACCUGACAUAGACUAAUUGUUGAGUAGCAUUUACUCAGCACUUAGUAUGAGCAUGUGGGUGUUAUUCACAUAUUUAACGCUAAUAGCAACCCCAUUAGGAUCUCAUGUUGUUAUGAAUGAGAAAACGGAGGCAAACAGAGGUUAAAUAACUUACAUAUGGCAGGUAAGUGGAAAUGGGUCUCAAAUAUGCGGUUGGCAGCCAGAGCCCAUGCUCCCAGCCUCUUGGCCACGCUGCUUGUUGAGGGGGUUUCAGAAACUCAGGAAGAAGCUUAAAUGCCCUCCCACUGCCACCCUACUCUUCCUAGAGGUCUAACUUACCCGCCAGCUGCUGCCCAAAAUCCUUUAGUAAAGAGAACAGCAUUUUCACUCUGCAAUUAUUGAUUCAGCUUAAAAUGUAAAUACAUCUUGAUAAAUGAAAACAUUGAUUUAAGUUCAUUAACCUCAAGGUAUAAAUGACUAACAUGAGAUCUUUCCCUGGAGUGAGUUUUGAUGGGAGAAGAGAUUCCUAGGACCUGAAAUAGGGUGGGACUCCCAGAGAGGGAAGGGGCAGGAAAGAUGAGGUUCCAGGUAGAGGGCUUGUUACCAUCUCCAUUUCCACCAAGCCACACCCUGGGAGCAGCAGGUAGUAACAAAAAUCCCAGCUCAGGCAUUUCUAGAGACAUCCCCAAUCCUCAAGUCCAAGAUUUAGAACUGUGUUUCUCCAGGUGAUGUCAAGGAAGAUUCUCACCUUGGCCAAACUCUAGCCAGGCUCCUGAACCCUUUUUCUCAGCCUCAAUCUUCGCCUAUAAAGACUUGAACAAAACACUAACACAGUUUCUAACAGCUCAAGGCCACAUCCCUAGGGUGACCCUAAUCCCCCUUACUGUGCUUGCCUUAGAAAACUCGAGGCUGUCAAAAUAAUUUACUGUUGGUUCCAGCCAACACCUGAGGGUAGGGCUUCUGUCUGCCAGACUCUUGGAGGAUAAGACCCUCAUGCCAUAAAGCAUCAGUUAGCAAACCCAGAUGGGUUCCACAACCCACAUGUGCUGAUCUCUCCAUUACUGCUUUUUGUGUUUUUCCCCUGACUCUACUGAGCCCUUGAUUACCCUCCCCUUAUUCCCUCAUCCUCCCUUUAAAGAGGUUUGCAAACCUCUGCCCAAACCUAAGUUGGGUUCAGUUCACACUGGCCUUUUUUCCUGAUGGCAGUGGUAGAUUACUGAUUAAAGUCUGUCUUUGCUGCUUUACUGUUCAGCUUUCUCUUUGAUGAAGUGCUUAGACCACUUGCAGCAGAGUCACCUGGAGCCUUGAUCUGGAGGCUCUUGGGUUCCAUCUCCCAAGACAGAAUCUCUCAGGUGUGGCCCAGAAGUGUGCACUGAAACAAGCUUCCUGGUCCCAAUUCUGAUGCACACUCAAGUUUGAAAUUAGGAAGUAUUUUUAGCCCCUUUUCUUAGUCCUCCCUUCUCUUUUCCUUCCCUGCGUUCAGUG